GUGAGCUGAAUGUCCUCAUUGCAGCACUUGGUAAACACCUGAGCCUUCACAGAAGAGGAGGAAUUAUGAGAUUUGGGAAAAUGUUACGUCUCCUUGAGGCACCUGGUAGAUUCACCCCACCGUGCUUUGGAAGGAUUCACCUACACAUGCUUUGGAAUAAUUUAUGAAAUUACACAAGGGCAGCGAGGAUUUUUUUUUUGUUGUUCAUUUAUUUGUUUAAAAUCAUCUGUAUUGCUUCACUGGUAUGGUUUGCUGUGUGACACCAUGAGCAAUUGCAGCCACACAAUAGAGAUGAGGCCACUUUGUCACUCCCUUGUUUAUUGCUAUGGGUUGUGGAAGAAGCAUUACAGAGGAGUCCCAGUGAAGCCCUCUGUAUCCCAAAGAGAGUCAAGAGGCAGUGACUCAUGCACUCCAGCUUUUAGAAGGAAAAUAAAGUUUUUAUAAAUCAGAAUACCGAAAAAAAAGGAGAAUUAAUACAGGAAGAUGGAGAGAAGGACGAAGUAUCCUGGAAAAGUUUUGCUUCUCUUGGCAAAGACGAUAACCUGCAACUAGAUGCUGACUGAGUUUAUCUUAAAACUGAAGACUGGAUUGAAGUUGAUUCACAGGAAGAAUGGUUUUAAAGUAUUUUGUGAUGGCAGAGACAUUUGAUUCAGUUGGGCCUUGAAGAUUUUGCAGGAAACUAGCUGAAGCAAACUGAGUCAUUACUGAUUAUCUUCAAGAGCUUGUGGAGGAUUCAGAAGUACCAGAGGGCUGAAGAGGGACAAAUAUAGAACCCGCCUAUGGAAAACAGAGUUGGCGGCUGGGAAAUUACAGACUAGUCGGCCUAACUUCAACUUGUGGGCAGAUGCUAGAAGAAAUUAUUAAGCAGCUAUUUGAAAAUAUCCAGGAGUUAAUGAUCUUCCUAAAGAGAAAUAAAUAAAAUGAAUACGUAAUACAGAAAGAGGAAAUAAUUCAAAAGUAAUCAAGUUUAAUUUCUAACUUAGUGAGAGGCCAGGUGAGAAAGGAGGUAAGAGAAGAUGCUAUAAAACUGAUGCUAGAAAAAGGUUUUUUCCACAGUGAGGUUAUGAAGGUCUAAUUCCAAUUAAGAUAGGACUGAUUGGAAAAUCACUUUUGAAGAGUAAUUGUCAAAGGCUUCUUAGUAUCUGACUAAAAGAGGAUCUUAAAUGAUAUCUAUCAGUGAUGUUUCUUAAGUCCAAUUCCAUUCAAAAUGCAAGCACUGACUUGUUUUAAUAAUAAGAAAAAAAAAAGUAUGCCUAAAUGCUUGUGAAUGAUAGCACGCUUGAGUAAAUGUAAAAGCAUCUAAAUGUACAGGAAUCUAAAAUGAUCUUGAAACGAAAUUUGGAGAGAUGUGUGAAAUUGGGAGGAAGAAAUUUAAUAUAGAAUCAUGCAGUUUUCUAUGCCCUCAAUGAAGAAGUUAAAUGCACAAAUACAAGCUUGUUUGACUGCUUGUCAAGAUAUUAGAAAAGAAUCUGAUGCUGAAAGGGAACCUCAAGCUCCUUACAAAUCAAUGAUGUAAUGUUGUACAAGAAAAAUAAAUCUUAUUUUGGAAUGUUUUGAUGGAAAUAUUAUCAGUAACUCAGAACAGAUUUUUCAAGCAAACUCACUGUUGAUGAAGUAAAGUGAUAUAUUCAUUUUUGGCAUUGCACUUUAAAAACUGUAGAUAUAAACUAGGAGUAGUCUGGGGAGAGAUAUAACAAUGACAAAAAUCUUUGAGCACUUGAUCUAUCAGGAAAGGUUGGAUAAAUAACCCUCUUAUCCCAUUAUGGCCAUUGCAACCACUUCUCCAACUCCCAACUUUUCACAUUCCUGACUUCUCAGAAGAAGACCUACCUCAGAAUGCCCAGGCAAAAUUCCUUCUUCUUGUGUGCUGAAAAUGUCAGCAAGAAAUAUAGCCUUCUGGACAUGGAGAAGUCAGGUUUCCACUCCCAGCUCUGCAAAAAAAAUUUACCGUGCGUUCACUUGGGUAACUCAAUUAUUGUCUCUACUUAUUUCCUAC